ACAGCCCACAUAUUCACCCAUUUGUACAACUUUCUCCCUCUCUCUCCGUAUUUUAAUAGCCUUCCCUUGUUUUGCUUCGUCUUUUCACUGUUUUCUCAGCUCAGUUUAGGUGCGUUGCUUGUAGAGUUAUUAGGUCUUCCAGUAAGAAUGGAUUUGAGUUUGUUAUUUAACAUACUGCAUCCGUACUUGCACCAGAGGUGUUUGAGAAAUUGCCCGAAAGAAGAAACUACUAAUCUUUUUGGGCUCUUAAAUCCAGAUUGUCUGAUCAAAAAUAGCUUUGAAUAUGAUGGGCAACUUCCCAUUAAAGGUGCGCUGUUCUAUGACAGCUUGAAAAUUUCAUUCUCCAGCAGAGAUAAUAUCUGGAACUGAAUUUAGUAUUCGAAAGUUGUGUUUACUGGCCAUAGUUCAGCUAACAAGGUUGUUCAUUAUCGCCAAUUAUUUGAUAGCAAUUACCGGUAUUGCAGAGGACGGAACGUGACUUUUCAGGAGGUAGAAUUGGAGCUUUUUCACACUUUCCUGGUGUCUAUUCUGAACUUAGAGGUCAUCCAUGAUGAGUUAACAAAGUCAUGCACACUUGCAAGCCACUGCUACUUAGCAAGAAGCUCAUUUGAGUGGAAUUUACUCAACUCAAGUAAUAUCUAAUGCACUCUUGACUGAUACUGGCUGCUGUUACUUUAGUAGAUUAAAAUUCUGCUCUAACUGGUUUUGUAUGAAAAUUAACUCCCCAGGAAAAUAUGGAAAAAAUGAUAGCUGGUGCACUAACAGAGUUUUUUCUCUACAUGGUCAUGAACAUUUGUUCUUGUAUUUAACCCUUAUAUCCCUCCACUUCACUCUCCUGUUUAUCCAUUGUAAGUUCAAUUCUAGAAAAUUGUUAUACUACGAUGCUCUUCUUACUCUUUGCUAUAGAGCAGUUCAACGACAUUGUGGGUUGGUGGAGAUGCAUUUGAAAAUCAGUAUUGGAGUGCAAGUGACUCAAAAAAAAAAAAAAAAAAAAAGCUUCUACAUUGGUCCUAUGGAAGACAUACUGAUAUUAGCAACUUGAGUCGGUAGCCAUCUAAAGGCUUGCGCAGAGAAUUGUGCAUGGAGAUGUGCCUCAGGCUCUGAUGAAUCGACGGCUAAUAUCUCUUGACAUGGGUGCGCUCAUAGCCGGUGCAAAAAUACCGUGGUGAAUUUGAAGACAGAUUGAAGGCUGUGCUUAGGAAAGUGACAGAAUCCGAAGGACAGAUCAUUCUUUUUAUUCAUGAGACACAUACUGUUGGCACAGAAAAUGGGGGAGGUUUGAUUUAAGCAGCAGAGCAGUGGCAAACCAGCCACCUAUCUUUGCCAAUUAAAAGAUGCAUAUGACGAUGUUGAUCAAAUGGAGAAGGGCUAUGUGCUGACUCCUGAUUGUGUUUCCAUUAAAACUGCUCGUGUUCGUCAAGUCAAGCUUGUCAAAUUGGCACCUUAGCUUAACGCGUAUUUAAACUUUCUACCCCACUUCUCUUGCUCAGACAUCUUCCCACUGGUUUUUUUUGGUUAAUUCAUACUUUGAUGUAUCAGUUGAGGCAUUAUUGAGUUGUUUCUGUUAAACAGGCCUAAACAAGGCAUGUCAUUUACGUAUAAAAUUUGCAUCCAUCUAUUACAAUUCAUUUAAAAA